UAGGGGAGAUUGGAAUUCCUGGUGUAGCGGUGGAAUGCGCAGAUAUCAGGAGGAACACCGAUGGCGAAGGCAGAUCUCUGGGCCGUAACUGACGCUGAGGAGCGAAAGCAUGGGGAGCAAACAGGCUUAGAUACCCUGGUAGUCCAUGCCGUAAACGUUGGGAACUAGAUGUGGGGACCAUUCCACGGUCUCCGUGUCGUAGCUAACGCAUUAAGUUCCCCGCCUGGGGAGUACGGCCGCAAGGCUAAAACUCAAAGGAAUUGACGGGGGCCCGCACAAGCGGCGGAGCAUGCGGAUUAAUUCGAUGCAACGCGAAGAACCUUACCAAGGCUUGACAUAUACCGGAAACGGCCAGAGAUGGUCGCCCCGCAAGGUCGGUAUACAGGUGGUGCAUGGUUGUCGUCAGCUCGUGUCGUGAGAUGUUGGGUUAAGUCCCGCAACGAGCGCAACCCUCGUCCUAUGUUGCCAGCACGUCAUGGUGGGAACUCAUGGGAUACUGCCGGGGUCAACUCGGAGGAAGGUGGGGAUGAGGUCAAAUCAUCAUGCCCCUUAUGUCUUGGGCUUCACGCAUGCUACAAUGGCCGGUACAAUGGGCUGCGAUACCGCAAGGUGGAGCGAAUCCCAAAAAGCCGGUCUCAGUUCGGAUUGAGGUCUGCAACUCGACCUCAUGAAGUCGGAGUCGCUAGUAAUCGCAGAUCAGCAACGCUGCGGUGAAUACGUUCCCGGGCCUUGUACACACCGCCCGUCAAGUCAUGAAAGUCGGUAACACCCGAAGCCAUUGGCCUAACCUUUGGAGGGAGCUGUCGAAGAAGAUAUACGUUGGCCG
rnacentral:rRNA from 1 species